rnacentral:rRNA from 1 species
AGCCUUUGACAUCCCGGUCGCGAGCACCAGAGAUGGAGCUUUUCAGUUCGGCUGGACCGGAGACAGGUGCUGCAUGGCUGUCGUCAGCUCGUGUCGUGAGAUGUUGGGUUAAGUCCCGCAACGAGCGCAACCCUCGCCCUUAGUUGCCAUCAUUUAGUUGGGCACUCUAAGGGGACUGCCGGUGAUAAGCCGGAGGAAGGUGGGGAUGACGUCAAGUCCUCAUGGCCCUUACAGGCUGGGCUACACACGUGCUACAAUGGCGGUGACAGAGGGACGCAAAGGAGUAAUCCUUCGCAAAUCUCAAAAAGCCGUCUCAGUUCGGAUUGUGCUCUGCAACUCGAGCACAUGAAGUUGGAAUCGCUAGUAAUCGCAGAUCAGCACGCUGCGGUGAAUACGUUCCCGGGCC